rnacentral:lncRNA from 1 species
GUUUGAUGUGCCCAUGUGUCAUGGGAAUCGAUCACGUCCUUUUUAGAUGUAGGUCACAUGAUCCAUAUUGUUCUUAGACACGAAAUAUCCUACGAUCAAACAAUGUUGGAGUAAGAAUGAUUAGGAAGUAAAAAUAGUAUUGAACUUCAAGGUAUAUGUUUCCAAAUUCAAUGUCAACCAAUUUUACUCUGUCGACGCAUCCGGCCUUUUUUUUUCUUUUUUUAAGUUCAUGCGGUUUCAUCAAUUUAUGUUUGUUACCUUGAUUUGUCUUCUAAAUAUUUUUAUGAGCUUGACCAUCAAUAAACUAUUGUUGUCUUAAAUAUUGCAAUGGUUUACACACAAAACAAUAGUACCAUUCGCCACUUCAGUAUCUAAAGCCC